GCCGCCUUGGCGCAAUUGGUAGCGCACCCGACUUGUAAUCGGAAGGUUGGGGGUUCAAGUCCCCCAGGCGGCU
rnacentral:tRNA from 1 species